ensembl:misc_RNA 7SK 7SK RNA
GGACAUGAAGGUAAUCUGGCUGUGAUUGGGCUGAUCUGGCUGGCUAGGUAGGUGUCCAUUUCUUAACUGUUCUAGGUAAACCCCUCCAGAAGUGUACUCAGUUGAAGAAGACCAUCUUUCUAGUUAGAGAAAGGAUGAUUUUUAGGACAAGGGUAUACUAGUAACUGUGCUUCCCUGCUAGAACCCCCAAAGAAGCUCUCAGGAAUAGCCUCUUUGUUAAUACUUUUGUUUGGAGAGGAAGAUAGAUUUUUGAUUGUUUUAAAAAUGGCUUUCUUU